rnacentral:rRNA from 1 species
CCCANGUCAGGCGAGGCCACCCGCUGAGUUUAA